rnacentral:rRNA from 1 species
UACGUAGGGCGCAAGCGUUAUCCGGAAUUAUUGGGCGUAAAGAGCUCGUAGGCGGCUUGGCAAGUCGGAUGUGAAAACUCCAGGCUCAACCUGGAGCCGCCAUUCGAUACUGCUAUGGCUAGAGUCCGGUAGGGGAGUGUGGAAUUCCCGGUGUAGCGGUGAAAUGCGCAGAUAUCGGGAGGAACACCGAUGGCGAAGGCAGCACUCUGGGCCGGCACUGACGCUGAGGAGCGAAAGCGUGGGGAGCGAACAGG